rnacentral:lncRNA from 1 species
AUUCUCCUUCUGCCGCCUCGUGAGGAAGGUUUCAUGCUUCUCCUUUGCCUUCUGCCAUGACUCAGUGUGAGAACAAACUCAUACCAUCUAUGUGCUUGCAAAAUCCACUAUGAGAAUCAGAGAGAGGUUAAGACACUUGGCCAAAGUGACACAGCAACAGAAGCCAAUGGGAAGGAUCCACUCCAAUCCAGUAUGACUUCAUCUUCAGUUGAUCACGUCUGCAAGGACCCUAUUUCCAGAGGUCACAUUCGGAGAAACUCUCCACGGGUGCUGAGAUGUCUUUGACACCUCGCUGAGUAAGGUUGGCAGAGCUUCCUUCACAACAGCCGGAAACGGUUUCCAUUGAAAACCUUCCUCAGGCAGCAGGACAGAAAGCAGACUUGGGUGACACCUUUUGUUUCUCUGUGUUCACUUUCACCAUCACCUACUCUUCCGACCCUGCACGUGAUGCGUCAGCUGGCACCACCCAGAUGCAUAAACUGGCUCCUCUGAUCUUGUGGCCCCCACCCAGGAACUGACUCAGCACAAGACGACAGCUUCGACUCCCUAUGAUUUCAUCUCUGACCAAUCAGCACUCCUGGCUCACUGGCUUCUCCCCACUCACAAAGUUAUCCUUAAAAGCUCUGCUCCCUGAAUGGCUUGGGGAGACUGAUUUGAGUAAUAGUAAAACUCU